rnacentral:rRNA from 1 species
UACGGGGGGGGCAAGCGUUGUUCGGAAUUACUGGGCGUAAAGGGCUCGUAGGCGGCCAACUAAGUCGGAUGUGAAAUCCCCGGGCUCAACCUGGGAACUGCGCUUGUGACUGCAAGGCUAGAGUACGGCAGAGGGGGGUGGAAUUCCACGUGUAGCAGUGAAAUGCGUAGAGAUGUGGAGGAACACCAAUGGCGAAGGCAGCCCCCUGGGUCGAUACUGACGCUCAUGCACGAAAGCGUGGGUAGCAAACAGG